rnacentral:rRNA from 1 species
AUUGAACGCUGGCGGCAUGCCUAACACAUGCAAGUCGAACGGAAACGAUGGGAGCUUGCUCCCAGGCGUCGAGUGGCGGACGGGUGAGUAAUGCUUAGGAAUCUGCCCAGUAGUGGGGGACAACCAGGAGAAAUUCUGGCUAAUACCGCAUACGCACUACGGUGGAAAGUGGGGGACCUUCGGGCCUCACGCUAUUGGAUGAGCCUAAGUCGGAUUAGCUUGUUGGUAGGGUAAUAGCCUACCAAGGCGACGAUCCGUAGCUGGUCUGAGAGGACGAUCAGCCACACUGGGACUGAGACACGGCCCAGACUCCUACGGGAGGCAGCAGUGGGGAAUAUUGGACAAUGGGCGCAAGCCUGAUCCAGCAAUGCCGCGUGUGUGAAGAAGGCCUGCGGGUUGUAAAGCACUUUCAGUAGAGAAGAAAAGCCUGAGGUUAAUACCCUCGAGUCUUGACGUAACCUACAGAAGAAGCACCGGCUAACUCCGUG